AGCGGAGGAAAAGAAACCAACAGGAUUGCUUCAGUAACGGCGAGUGAACCGGCAAAAGCUCAAAUUUGAAAUCUGGCUGCUUUUUUAGUAGUCCGAGUUGUAAUUUGAAGAAUAGAUCCUUGGAGAGGCGCUUUGUCUAUGUUCCUUGGAACAGGACGUCGCAGAGGGUGAGAAUCCCGUUUGGCGAGGUGUGCUGAUCCGUGUAAGGGCUGUUCGACGAGUCGAGUUGUUUGGGAAUGCAGCUCUAAGUGGGUGGUAAAUUCCAUCUAAAGCUAAAUAUUGGCGAGAGACCGAUAGCGAACAAGUACAGUGAUGGAAAGAUGAAAAGAACUUUGAAAAGAGAGUGAAAAAGUACGUGAAAUUGUUGAAAGGGAAGGUUAUUAGAUCAGACUUGGAUUUUUUAUUAUAUUUGUCUCCUUGUGGGGCAUUCACUAAUUUUUAAUCCAGGCCAGCAUCGAUUGGGAUGGCGGGAAAAAGAGGGAGGAACGUGGCUGUGCAUUUAUGUGCAGUGUUUAUAGCCUUUCUUAAUACCGCCUGUCUCGAUGCGAGGACUGCGGCAAAUUUAUUUUUGCCUAGGAUGCUGGCGAGAGAUGA
rnacentral:rRNA from 1 species